rnacentral:rRNA from 1 species
CAUGCAAGUCGAACGGAAAGGCCUCUUCGGAGGUACUCGAGUGGCGAACGGGUGAGUAACACGUGGGCAAUCUGCCCUGCACUUCGGGAUAAGCCUGGGAAACUGGGUCUAAUACCGGAUAGGACCUUUAGGCGCAUGCCUUUUGGUGGAAAGCUUUUGCGGUGUGGGAUGGGCCCGCGGCCUAUCAGCUUGUUGGUGGGGUGAUGGCCUACCAAGGCGACGACGGGUAGCCGGCCUGAGAGGGUGUCCGGCCACACUGGGACUGAGAUACGGCCCAGACUCCUACGGGAGGCAGCAGUGGGGAAUAUUGCACAAUGGGCGCAAGCCUGAUGCAGCGACGCCGCGUGGGGGAUGACGGCCUUCGGGUUGUAAACCUCUUUCACCAUCGACGAAGGUUCGGGUUUUCUCGGAUUGACGGUAGGUGGAGAAGAAGCACCGGCCAACUACGUGCCAGCAGCCGCGGUAAUACGUAGGGUGCGAGCGUUGUCCGGAAUUACUGGGCGUAAAGAGCUCGUAGGUGGUUUGUCGCGUUGUUCGUGAAAACUCACA